rnacentral:rRNA from 1 species
AACGAACGCUGGCGGCAGGCUUAACACAUGCAAGUCGAACGCCCCGCAAGGGGAGUGGCAGACGGGUGAGUAACGCGUGGGAAUCUACCGUACCCUACGGAACAACAGUUGGAAACGACUGCUAAUACCGUAUACGCCCUACGGGGGAAAGAUUUAUCGGGGUAUGAUGAGCCCGCGUUGGAUUAGCUAGUUGGUGGGGUAAAGGCCUACCAAGGCGACGAUCCAUAGCUGGUCUGAGAGGAUGAUCAGCCACAUUGGGACUGAGACACGGCCCAAACUCAUACGGGAGGCAGCAGUGGGGAAUAUUGGACAAUGGGCGUAAGCCUGAUCCAGCCAUGCCACGUGAGUGAUGAAGGUCUUAGGAUUGUAAAGCUCCUUCACCGAUGAAGAUAAUGACGGUAGUCGGAGAAGAAGCCCCGGCUAACUUCGUGCCAGCCGCCGCCGUAA